rnacentral:tRNA from 1 species
UAGGUAUUAGUAAAACUUAUUACAUAACUUUGUCAAAGUUAAAUUACUGGUUCAAUUCCUGUAUAUCUUA